CACUGUCACUCCUACGGGAGGCAGCAGUCGGGGAAUAUUGCACAAUGGGCGCAAGCCUGAUGCAGCCAUGCCGCGUGUAUGAAGAAGGCCUUCGGGUUGUAAAGCACUUUCAGUCGUGAGGAAGGUAGUGUACGUUAAUAGCUGCAUUAUUUGACGUUAGCGACAGAAGAAGCACCGGCUAACUCCGUGCCAGCAGCCGCGGUAAUACGGAGGGUGCGAGCGUUAAUCGGAAUUACUGGGCGUAAAGCGCAUGCAGGUGGUUUGUUAAGUCAGAUGUGAAAGCCCCGGGGCUCAACCUCGGAAUAGCAUUUGAAACUGGCAGACUAGAGUACUGUAGAGGGGGUAGAAUUUCAGGUGUAGCGGUGAAAUGCGUAGAGAUCUGAAGGAAUACCGGUGGCGAAGGCGGCCCCCUGGACAGAUACUGACACUCAGAUGCGAAAGCGUGGGGAGCAAACAGGAUUAGAUACCCUGGUAG
rnacentral:rRNA from 1 species